UAUGAUACUCAACAAUGGGUUGGCAAUUCUACUGCAAUGAAAGUAAAAUGCAAUGAUUGUAUUUAGAGAUGCUAAAAUGCCUAGUGGAUAUGUUUGGUUCGCAAGAAAAUGAAAUGGGGCAUUCAAGAUUUUAGUAUAAAAAUGUUUCUGUGACAUGGACGGGAAAAAUGAAAGAAGGAUUCUACAUUUUCCUCGAAAUUCCUCCAACAUCAACCGGGAAACAAAUAAAAACAAAAAGGCUAAAAAAAGCUCUGAUCAACAAGAGAAAAUCCAAAAUAAGAAAAAAG
rnacentral:misc_RNA from 1 species